rnacentral:sRNA from 1 species
GUCACAGGCUUGUGCGUUGUAGUCACACAGGUGUUGUCCCACCACCUUGCCAUGUUCCGUCCCCUGGGUAGAAAACAAGCCACGGGCCCCACUCACACUCAUGGGGAGGAGCCUCCACAAGGGCGGGACCACCAGGAGGUGCGGGUCAUGGGGGCACUUAGAGUCUCUCUGCCACAGUACUGGUGUUCCUCCCACUUUACGGAGAACUUGCUGAAGGUCGUUACAGCCUGGAUUCAAACACGUUCUGGCUGCAGCAUGUGUGCUCUUAGCUCCGCCUGUCCUAUUUCUGGCCUUUGGUAGAAGGCCAGAAUCUAUCCCCUGAAUUGCAGGGGAUAGAUUUAGGAAUUAUUGGUUUAUAGGUACUGAAACCAUGGGUGUAGAAACCAUGCAUAUUCUGGCUGGGCGCAGUGGCUCACGCCUGAAUCCCAGCACUUUGGGAGGCCGAGGUGGGCAGAUCACGAGGUCAGAAGAUCGAGACCAUCCUGGCUAACAUGGUGAAACCCUGUCUCUACUAAAAAAUACAAAAAAAAAAAAAAACAAAAAACAUUGGCCGGGCAUGGUGGCAGGCCCCUGUAGUCCCAGCUACUCCGGAGGCUGAGGCAGGAGAAUGGCAUGAACCUGGGAGGUGGAGCUUGCAGUGAGCCGAGAUCACACCACUGCACUCCAGCCUGGGGACAGAGCCAGACUCUGUCUCAAAAAAAAAAAAAGCAUAUUCUGAUUGUGUAGGCCCCAGGAGGGGGCUGAGAUUCUGGAUUUCCCAGAAGCUCCCAGGCUGCUGCAGACCACACAGUAGAAGCAAGGAUGUGGAUGAGAUUGCUUAGGGUGAUUGGAUGGGUGAGAAAGAUCAAGGAGAGAACCUUGAGGUGUGUACCAGCUUGGUAGAGAUUUUAGGAAGAAUGUUGGGAUGAAAAGAAGGUCAAGUGCAGAAUGCUGUAGAAAGGUGGGAUGGGGAGAUGUCUCCACCCAGUCUCCUACAUGCAGGGGGUUAGGUGCUGCCGUUCUGUCCAGGAUAUUCAAUCUUAGAAGAACCUAGUAGAAAACUCUGAUCUACCACUGCCUUCAUCAUCCUCUUAUUCUGUAUUUAUAGAUAAAGAAAUAGAAUUGCAAGGAUGAAAUAGCCUUUGCAUAGUUUCCUUUUAUUAUCACUUAACUCAAUUCCUGCUGGGUGCAGUGGCUCACACCUGUAAUCCUAGCACUUUGGGAGGCAGAGGCGGGUGGAUCACUUGAGGUCAGGAGUUCAAGACCAGCCUGACCAACAUGGUGAAACCCUGUCUCUACUAAAAAUACAAAAUUAGCCAGGCGUAGUGGUGCACGCUUGUAAUCCCAGCUACUCAGGAGGCUGAAGCAGGAGAAUCACUUGAACCCAGGAGGCGGAGGUUUCAGUGAGCCAAGAUUGCGCCAUUGCACUCCAGCACAAGAGUGAAACUGUCUCAAAAAAACCUCAAUUCCUGUUACCAGCUUUACUUUUUUAUUUACAUUCAAAUACUUAGGCAAUGUGUUACUCUUUUCCUAAGAAAGAUGUUAAUGGCUAAUAAAUCAAGCCCUUUUUUAUUUUUUAUUUUUUAUUUUUGCAGUUGAGUCUUACUGUGUUGCCCAGGCUGGAGUGCAGUGGCGUAAUCUCAGCUCACUGCAACCUCCGCCUCCUGGGCUCAAGCCAUCCUCCCACCUCAGCCUCCUGAGUAGCUGGGACAAUGGGUGUGCACCACCAUGCCCAGCUAUUUUUGUAUUUUUUGUAAAGAUGGGGUCUUGCUGUGUUGCGCAGGCUGGUCUUGAACUACUGGGUUCAAGCAAUUCUCCCACCUCAGCCUCUCAAAAUGCUGGGAUUACAGGUGUGAGCCACUGUGGCCAGCCAAGACCUUAUUGUAAUUAAAUUUUUAUUAAAGCGUUUCGAGCUAAAUGUACAUUAUCAAAGGAGGAAACGUGGGAGGUUGUAUUAAUUUCCUAGGGCUGCCAUAACAAAUUACCACAAAUCAGGUGGCUUAACACAGAAAUGUAUUCACUCACAGUUCUGGAGGUCGGAAGUCUGAAAUCAAGGUGUUGGGGCUGUGCUUCCUCUAGAAUCCUUCCUGGUCUAGUCCAGCUCCUGCUGGCUCCGGGAGUUCUUUGGCUUGUGGCAGCAUAACUCCAAUCUCUGCCUCUGUGUUCACAUGGCUGCCUCCUCUCUGUCUCUGCGUUUCUUCUCUUUUUAAAGAAUACUUACUGCACAUUGGAUUUAGGACCCACCCUAAAUCUCGGAUGUCCUUCUGAGGUCCUUAAUUACAUUUUCAAAGACGCUAUUUUUGAAUAAGGUCACAUUCACAGGGUCUGGGGGUCAGGACUUGGACAUAUUCUUUUGGGGGCUGCUGUUGAGCCCACUACAGAGGUGAGCACUACAUGAUUGUGAGCAGUGUGAAAAAAAGGUGAGAUGCAGUGAUGUGUGGAUUUUUGCACAUUUUAUUUCUAAAAUGUUAAUGUGAAUUGUUUGUUUUUCCAUUAGGAAAUAUGCAAAAGCUGAAACUCUUAUGACAGUCACUGAUCCUGUUCAUGAUAUUGCAUUCGCUCCAAAUUUGGGAAGAUCUUUCCAUAUUCUAGCAAUAGCGACCAAAGAUGUGAGAAUUUUUACAUUAAAGCCUGUGAGGAAAGAACUGACUUCCUCUGGUGGGCCAACAAAGUUUGAAAUCCAUAUAGUGGCUCAGUUCGAUAAUCAUAAUUCUCAGGUCUGGCGAGUGAGUUGGAAUAUAACAGGAACGGUGCUAGCAUCUUCAGGAGAUGAUGGGUGUGUAAGAUUGUGGAAAGCUAAUUAUAUGGACAAUUGGAAGUGUACUGGUAUUUUGAAAGGUAAUGGGAGCCCAGUCAAUGGGAGUUCUCAGCAGGGAACCUCAAAUCCUUCCCUAGGUUCAAAUAUUCCAAGUCUUCAGAAUUCAUUAAAUGGAUCUUCUGCUGGCAGAAAGCACAGCUGAGUACAAGCUAACUGGAGUAACUUUGCUGUUUUGCUGCUUGUUGCAUGCACACAGGAAUGGAAAGCGAGCUCCUUUUCCCCUUCCCCAGCGCCGUUUGACCUCUCCCAAGAUACACCAGCAGCCUGCUUACUACUAAACGCAAUCCAAAAGGCCUUUAAAAAUACAGUGUAUAUUUUUUUGUACUAGUCAGUUUAUUGACACUAUUUGAAACUUUUGAAAUAUAAACGGAGAGGCUUUCUGUUGAGACAUUGUCACCAAAACAAUUUUUUGAAAUGUUCCUGAAACUAAUUUGGGUUUAAAGAUUAAAAGGGUUGUUACCAUUCUUAUCUGAGUAGUUGGGAGGAGGGGAAUACCACUUUAGUUCAUUUGGAAAAUAUAGACAUAUUUCUUUUGCUUUCUUAAAACAGCUUAAAAUGAUGAACUUUUAUAAUUUUAAUUUGAAGAUUGAAUAAAUAUUUUUUAUAAAGAUUGUUUUGAGUGCUGAUUUGUUUACUUUUUGUAGAUUUGCUUUAUCCAUGAUAUUCAGUACAACUCUGUCAUUUCUUUGUAAUAUUUAAAAAAUAUUAGUAAAGGAGUGAAUUAAUAAAGUAGUAAUAGUAAAAUGAAAGGAACUUGACUGUACAGUUUGUAGCCAGGUUAAGCAUUUGGUAUUGUUUCAUUUACAAUUUGGGACUAAGAUGGAAACACUUUUUUAUAAGUUUUUAAUUCAUAGUCACUAAAGAGAUAAAUGUUUCUUAUAUACAUUUGUAUAUUUUUAUGGUGUUAUUUAUUCCAUGGCUUAGUUUCCUUCAAAUCAAAAUUUGGACACACACUAUUAAGAGAAGCCAUUAAAGUUUUACUAAAAUUGUGCAUGUAAAUUAAUGUCAGCAUUCCAUGUCUUAAGAUUUUCUUAAUUUAGUUUGCUGUUUAAAUUAAUUCAUAUCCUGUAAAGUUCUGACCUUGAUAACAAAGCUAUAAAUAUUUAAGUUUGCUAAUAUGCGUUAAGUAUUAUCGGUAAGUUACAAGAUGGAAGAAGAAUAACAGUAGGGCACAGUCAUUCUGUGAAUCCUUUUACUUAUCAAAAUUUGGUAGCUGUUCUAAGGCUUUUGCAGAAAAAUAAGUGUUCAAUGUUUGUAGUUCUUCAAAAGCAUGUUGCAGUAGCCAGCCAUACUAUGUGUAUUCCCAGUAUCAUGUAUGCACUAAAAAAAAUGUGUGCUUGCUGCUGCUGUGAACCAUUGCUUAAGAUAAAAAACUUAACUAGAUUUGUAAAUGUACAGAAUAGCAUCAGAUGUUUCUGAGAGAUUAGAAAAUGUUUUGAAUUUAUAAAAUUAAUGUUUUUCUUUGUAACAUUUAUAUAUAUUUUUUGACAUUUUAAGUUUAACAGAUUGUAUUCCUUUCAAGUUUCUAUACUUGCUUAAGCAAUCUUGAUUUGAGUAAGGGUCUUGAUUUGUGCUAUUAUGUUCUGUUAGUUUUGGCAUGAAUAUACUAAAGCUUUUUUUUUUUUUUCUAGCAUGUGUUUUCUCCUCUUUGGUUCUCUUUGUAUUUACUACUUUUCUCUUUUUCUUGUGUUUUUUUUUUUCCUGUUUUUGUUUUGUUUGGUGUUUUGUUCCUGUCUUCAUUGUUUCAGGUAUUUCUUUCCCCCUCUGGAUUCCCCACGGGCUGGAUCGAGAUGGUCCAGUUAUGCCCAGCUCCUUCCUCCUCCUCCUCCUCCUCUGGUAGAGCACUCUUGCGAUGCUGACACUGCCAACCUCCAGUAUCCUCACCCUCGCAGACGAUAUCUCUCUCGGCCUCUUAAUCCCUUACCUGAGAAUGAAGGGGUUUAAAACACUGAUUUAACAUUGAAAGGCCUUAUUCAAGUGCUUGUAAAUGCUUUCAUUUCUGGCUGCUUUUUGUUUUUCAUUUUCUUUCAGAAGAUUUUUCUAACUUAGGGUCUGUCUUGCAUGUAUUACAACCAGAAUACAGUGUUUAGAACCUAAAUCUGUUUGUGUGUCUGCAUCAAAGGAACAUUUGCUUCACUGGGUGAUAACCUUUGAUGAAAUGAGAUAUGUCCAAGUAACGUUAACUGUGAAGUUACACACAGUAGCUGACUUCAAAGUGCCUGUUCUGUAAAUUUUAUUUUAAAGUGUUACCGUAGUCUUAAGUUGUUUAUGCUUUAUCAGACUGGCUAAUGUGAAAGCAUAUUAUUAUGAAGUUUAUUCUGCCUUUGAGACCUUAAAAAAUGGAUUUCAUUUUACAGGCUAAUGUUGUAACUGACUAGUAUGUAAAAUAAAUCAUUCCUGUGUAUAAAGCAGCAAAA